rnacentral:rRNA from 1 species
UACGAAGGGAGCUAGCGUUGUUCGGAAUCACUGGGCGUAAAGCGCACGUAGGCGGAUGUGUCAGUCAGGGGUGAAAUCCCGGAGCUCAACUUCGGAACUGCCUUUGAUACAGCACGUCUUGAGUCCGAUAGAGGUGGGUGGAAUUCCUAGUGUAGAGGUGAAAUUCGUAGAUAUUAGGAAGAACACCGGUGGCGAAGGCGGCCCACUGGAUCGGUACUGACGCUGAGGUGCGAAAGCGUGGGGAGCAAACGGG